CUCUUACAGAAGAGUUGUUAAUGUAAAUUCAGUGUAAGUUUUGUUUUAUACAAGUCGCGAAACCUUUCGUUAAACCUGUGUCAACUUCACCUAGAUAGACCAUUCAAUAGCUUGCGUUAUCAGCCAAAAUUCAUUCUAUUAAAUUUAAGAUAUUUAGAGGUAACUAUGUCUGGUAAAACGACUGGUACAGUAAAAUGGUUCAACGAAACUAAAGGUUUCGGUUUCAUUUCUCAAGACAACGGCGGUAAAGACGUGUUUGUUCACUUCAACUCCAUUGUCUCUGAUGGCUUCAAAACAUUAGCUGAAGGUCAAAAAGUAAGCUUUAAUGUUGAAGAAGGCAAAAAAGGUCCGCAAGCGACUGAAGUAACGCCUCUGUAAGCUAAAUUUCAAAACGCAGUGCUCUGCACUGCGUUUUACU
rnacentral:sRNA from 1 species